rnacentral:lncRNA from 1 species
UCGUGUUCGGCAAACAGCCUCGUAUAUCUCUUUAGGAUCUCUGUUAUUGUCAAUAUUUUUUACAAAUUUCCAUGGACACGAUGAUCUCUGAGCAAUUGGUGCAUACGAACUCAUAGGUAUACAACUUAUCUCGUCAACCCUUGUGAUAUUUAUAUACCUUUGUGGUAUUAAGGCAAGCUGACCUUGUUGAUAAUUUAAAACUUCACCUGGUAGGAUAGCUUUUGUUUCCGCAGAG